GGGUCGUAGCGCAGAGGCAGUCGCACCUCUUCCGCAAGGAGGGACACGCUGGUUCGAAUCCAGCCGCCCGCCA
rnacentral:tRNA from 1 species